AGAGUUUGAUCAUGGCUCAGAUUGAACGCUGGCGGCAGGCCUAACACAUGCAAGUCGAACGGUAACAGGAAGCAGCUUGCUGCUUUGCUGACGAGUGGCGGACGGGUGAGUAAUGUCUGGGAAACUGCCUGAUGGAGGGGGAUAACUACUGGAAACGGUGGCUAAUACCGCAUAACGUCGCAAGACCAAAGAGGGGGACCUUCGGGCCUCUUGCCAUCAGAUGUGCCCAGAUGGGAUUAGCUUGUUGGUGAGGUAACGGCUCACCAAGGCGACGAUCCCUAGCUGGUCUGAGAGGAUGACCAGCCACACUGGAACUGAGACACGGUCCAGACUCCUACGGGAGGCAGCAGUGGGGAAUAUUGCACAAUGGGCGCAAGCCUGAUGCAGCCAUGCCGCGUGUAUGAAGAAGGCCUUCGGGUUGUAAAGUACUUUCAGCGGGGAGGAAGGUGUUGUGGUUAAUAACCGCAGCAAUUGACGUUACCCGCAGAAGAAGCACCGGCUAACUCCGUGCCAGCAGCCGCGGUAAUACGGAGGGUGCAAGCGUUAAUCGGAAUUACUGGGCGUAAAGCGCACGCAGGCGGUCUGUCAAGUCGGAUGUGAAAUCCCCGGGCUCAACCUGGGAACUGCAUUCGAAACUGGCAGGCUUGAGUCUUGUAGAGGGGGGUAGAAUUCCAGGUGUAGCGGUGAAAUGCGUAGAGAUCUGGAGGAAUACCGGUGGCGAAGGCGGCCCCCUGGACAAAGACUGACGCUCAGGUGCGAAAGCGUGGGGAGCAAACAGGAUUAGAUACCCUGGUAGUCCACGCCGUAAACGAUGUCUACUUGGAGGUUGUGCCCUUGAGGCGUGGCUUCCGGAGCUAACGCGUUAAGUAGACCGCCUGGGGAGUACGGCCGCAAGGUUAAAACUCAAAUGAAUUGACGGGGGCCCGCACAAGCGGUGGAGCAUGUGGUUUAAUUCGAUGCAACGCGAAGAACCUUACCUGGUCUUGACAUCCACAGAACUUUCCAGAGAUGGAUUGGUGCCUUCGGGAACUGUGAGACAGGUGCUGCAUGGCUGUCGUCAGCUCGUGUUGUGAAAUGUUGGGUUAAGUCCCGCAACGAGCGCAACCCUUAUCCUUUGUUGCCAGCGGUCAGGCCGGGAACUCAAAGGAGACUGCCAGUGAUAAACUGGAGGAAGGUGGGGAUGACGUCAAGUCAUCAUGGCCCUUACGACCAGGGCUACACACGUGCUACAAUGGCGCAUACAAAGAGAAGCGACCUCGCGAGAGCAAGCGGACCUCAUAAAGUGCGUCGUAGUCCGGAUUGGAGUCUGCAACUCGACUCCAUGAAGUCGGAAUCGCUAGUAAUCGUGGAUCAGAAUGCCACGGUGAAUACGUUCCCGGGCCUUGUACACACCGCCCGUCACACCAUGGGAGUGGGUUGCAAAAGAAGUAGGUAGCUUAACCUUCGGGAGGGCGCUUACCACUUUGUGAUUCAUGACUGGGGUGAAGUCGUAACAAGGUAACCGUAGGGGAACCUGCGGUUG
rnacentral:rRNA from 1 species